GAUGAAGAACGUAGCGAAAUGCGAUACUUGGUGUGAAUUGCAGAAUCCCGUGAACCAUCGAGUCUUUGAACGCAAGUUGCGCCCGAAGCCAUUAGGCCGAGGGCACGCCUGCCUGGGCGUCACACGUCGUUGCCCCCCCAUCUACUCCUUCGGGAUUGCGGGGGGCGGAUGAUGGCCUCCCGUGCGCCUCGUCGCGCGGUUGGCAUAAAUGCCAAGUCCUCGGCGACGCACGCCACGACAAUCGGUGGUUGCGAAACCUCGGUUGCCGGUCGUGUGCGGUCGUCGCGCAUCGAGGGCUCGAAAAAAUUGCCGGGCUCCGGCUCGGCUUUCAACGCGACCCCAGGUCAGGCGGGGUUACCCGCUGAAUUUAAGCAUAUCAAUAAGCGGAGGA
rnacentral:misc_RNA from 1 species